AAGCUAGUCCGACCGACAUGAACUAGAAGCAGGGUGAUAGAUUUUUCAUCAUUCCUAUUUACAAUGAGGGAAAGGGUGCCAACGGCGCCCAGGGCGGAGUCCCCGUCGGCAAUCGAUGGCGUGACCUGGCCGGAGUGGGCUUGCUGGAAGAUGUGUCAGCAGUCGCGUCUCUCUUACGCAAGCUGCUAACCCAAUCAUCGCUCGUUUCGUCAGUCAUCGCAUUCUUUUAUUCUAUCGAACGAGAGUAGAUACGAAACACCUGCCUUGAGCCCCGGUUGUCUCAUGCCGGCGCGCCUUUGCCUUUUGACAACCGCUUUUUACUGUCUUACAUUCAAUAGUCUACCACCUGCUGAGUGAUCCUUGUAGGAGAGGUGUCCCAUGCACGCAACCGCUGGUUAUGUAAACCUUGCUAUUGGUGGCAUUCAAAAGACAAGGAUGAGAGAAGCUGAAGCCCGCCCACGGUUGUUUGUCUUUUCGUCACUACACUGUGUCAACUACGUCUGUUAUCCUUGCUUGUAUGCAAUUCCCACCAUUCUCCGACAGCUUUUUAUGCGGGUGGGGCGAUGCUGCGACAAUGUUUCUUGAUUUCUCGUUUUGCCACCCCCACGACAAAAAGUACGACGACAAGAGGAUACGUCAUUUUGGUUCAUCAGGCUGGAGAGUGUGACACCGCCGCCGCUUCAGUGUGUCGCGGUACGUAUCAACUUACUGCUUCGACUGCCUCCGGCAAACGUGUAGAGCUGCAUUUGUCGCCAUGAACGGGAUAUCCUGUUGAGUGAAACCGCCUCCAAGUGGCUGUGAUGCUCGUGCCCGUAACAGCUUCCCAUUUGGUCGAAUCGAGGGAUCGCUACCCCGUCGUGGUACAGCCCAGGACAAGUGCAAGGGAUAACAGCCAAUCCCCUGAAAGCAGUCGCCACAGAAGGCAGAUGCAGCAGAAUGCUCAACGCGGGCAGCACUUUUCCUCCCAUAUAUAUUUACUUCAGGAGUUAACAGUUCCCUUGUGGCUGGUCGAAAACAUUUUUUCCGUUAAGCGUAGGUGUGUGUCUUCAUCUAUGGAACAAGCCGUGUGUCGAUAGCGAAUACAUCUUUUGUUUGCGUCCUGCACUCGACUUGACGAGGCGGCUACAGUGGAAACGAAAAAAAAGGGUUUCAGGAGAGUGUGCAGAUUUGGCGUAGCU
rnacentral:lncRNA from 1 species